rnacentral:lncRNA from 1 species
AGUUGAGCUCUGCCUUCUAUUCCUUUAUUGGAAGAAAGGCAAGACAUGCAUAAAAUAAAUAAAUACAUACUGCAAAUGUUUAAAGGUAUAGAAUAUUCAGAAGUGGUUUACCAGUCCUUUCUUUUGGGGCCAUCCUGGGAUUGUGCAGCUUGCCCAAGGCUACACAGACUGGUAUUUUUUCUCCAACCUCUCUCUAAUGCAUUGAGUUAUUCAGCCAGCUCAUUUUUAGGGCAAACUACAGGGCCAACACAUUCGGUAGCAUCCAUUUAAAAUGGAGUUCACCACUAUCUGUGUAAUACUUCCUCUUCACUGACAAAUUUCUCCUUUGGGUUCUGUUUUUCCUCCCAUAUGAUCCUAGAAUAUGACAAAUUUGGGGCCUUUUUAUAGGUUUCAAGAAUUUUGACUGGUGACUCUGUAUAUGGGGAAGGGGUCCUCUCCCGAUAUAGCUCCCCUUGUCAAAUUUAGAAGCACAGUAUCAAUUCACAAAUUCAGAGGAGUAACAAGAGAGGAUCAGGUUGCAGUGAAGUCUGAUUAUUCUUUGUCUUCCGUCAUUAAGGCUACUGUAUCUAAUCAAGAAUUUCAGCUUCAAGAAGUCUUGGAACGGGCUGAAAAAAAUAAACCAGAUAGUCCAUUCUUCACUGAUUUCGAAAUAAAUGAAUUACAUAGUAAUCCAUCAAGGAAAGAAUCUCCCAACACACCUCAUCAUAGUUCAGACACAAGUGGAAGAGGGUUGGACAGCAAAUCCUCAAAUUAUUUUACAUCCUUGGAUUCAACUGUUGGAGAUUUAGAACAAAGAACCCAACAACUUAUUGAUAAGAUUAAUGAAAAUCGGAAACAAGAUCAUGUAUUCAUGAACAAUUGUAGAGAAAGUCUUCUGAUGAAGGUAAAUAUAUCUGAAUAUAAAGAAAUAGCAAAGUUUUGUGUAGCACCCUUGUUACUGAACUUUAAGAAUUCAGAUUGUUACAAUCAUACUCAUCAGUGGUCUUUUGGUAUGUUAAGUUUGCCCAUUGAGUAUUAAUCAUGCUUACCCAGAGUAUUAAUCGCUUACAUUUUUGGCUAUUUAUUUAUGGAGACCAGUAGGAAGCAAAAGCAGUCAACAUCAUUUGGCUCAAGUGAGACCCAAAAUUAUAGAAUCAUAGAAUAAGAGAAAGCACCUAUAAAGGCCAUCAAGGCCAACCUGCUGCAAAGUGCAGGAAU